rnacentral:rRNA from 1 species
UACGGGGGGGAGCAAGCGUUGUUCGGAUUUACUGGGCGUAAAGGGCGCGUAGGCGGUCGUGACAAGUCACUUGUGAAAUCUCCGGGCUUAACUCGGAACGGUCAAGUGAUACUGUCGGACUAGAGUACAGAAGGGGCAACUGGAAUUCUCGGUGUAGCGGUGAAAUGCGUAGAUAUCGGGAGGAACACCAGUGGCGAAAGCGGCUCCCUGGUCCGAUACUGACGCUCAUGUGCGAAAGCGUGGGGAGCAAACAGG